rnacentral:rRNA from 2 species
UAACGGAGGUAAAGAAACUAACAAGGAUUCCCCUAGUAACGGCGAGUGAAGCGGGAAGAGCUCAAAUUUGAAAGCUGGCAGUAAUGUCCGCGUUGUAAUCUCGAGAAGUGUUUUCCGUGCUGGACCAUGGACAAGUUCCCUGGAAUGGGAUGUCAUAGAGGGUGAGAACCCCGUACUUGCUGUGGACGCCCAGUGCUUUGUGAUACACUUUCUAAGAGUCGAGUUGUUUGGGAAUGCAGCUCAAAAUGGGUGGUAAAUUCCAUCUAAAGCUAAAUAUUGGGGAGAGACCGAUAGCAAACAAGUACCGUGAGGGAAAGAUGAAAAGCACUUUGGAAAGAGAGUUAAACAGUACGUGAAAUUGUCAAAAGGGAAGCACUUGAAGUCAGAUAUGCAUAGUAGUACUCAGCCUUAUGGUGUAUUUACUAUUGUGCAGGCCAACAUCGAUUUUUGGUGACGGAUAAGGGUACAAGGAAUGUGGCCUCUCCGGAGGUGUUAUAGCCUUGUACUGGAUACGUGACUAGGGAUCGAGGAUCGCAGCGUCCCCAUUAGGGCAGGCCUUCGGGCACUUUGACGCUUAGGAUGUUGGCGUAAUGGCUUUAAGUGACCCGUCUUG